GCGUUGUUUAGUGCCAUCGCGGACAUGUAGCGCCAGCUAAACAAAGCUUAUCGCGCAGAGUAAAUGAUAUUUAACACAGCUUACACUGCUGCCAUUGCUGUCAACGGAUGUUACUCCACUUCCAUUUCUCCUUUUUCUGGUUAUUCAGUUCUUGUGCAGCGCUUGUGGGGGCGGCGGUUUUUGCUCGGACAGCUCGUUUAACUUCCAAACUAUUAAGUCUGUAGCUUUGCUGCUAAAGCAGGAAAAGGAAGGAAAUAGAGUGCGAAGCGUAAAGAGUAGAAAUUAGUGGGUGGGAAAAGUGCAGUGAGGCAUGCGGGACGCGCCACACAGUGAAGUGGAAGUGCGUAAACGAUAAAGGCGACGGUGACGGCAACGACAACGAUAACGACGUCAAGCACGACAGCGGCGAGUGAAGUGAAUUGCAGCUGAGUGGGAGUUCGAAGAAGAGGAAGCAGUGCAAUAUAUGUAUGUUGUUGUAUAGUAAGCAAAGAUAAAGUUGAACGGGGGACCUUGCUGUAGUACGAGUACAUUGUGGUCGAUUGGAGUAGAAAUCGCAGAAGAGAGAGUGGGAGGGUGAGCCACGAACAAGUCGACGAAGAACGAGUGAAGAACGCCAGUUAAAUAAAGCGGAAGAAGGAGAAGAAGAAUGCAUUUAUGAAUAUAUAUACAUAUGCGCCGAAUACGAGAGAUAAAUGGCAAAAGUAAAAAGUAUAUUGAGCUAGAGUAGGAUAAAGAAAAGGCUAAAGCAAACAUAUACAAAUAGACGACGAACUACACCCAAAAAAGUGCUGCCAACAGCAACGGGAACAGCGGCACAUAAAUGUGUGAAAAAAA